AUUGCUUCUCAGCCUUCUGGCUAAGGUCAAGU
rnacentral:snRNA from 1 species